rnacentral:rRNA from 1 species
GAUGAACGCUGGCGGCGUGCCUAAUACAUGCAAGUCGAACGGAGGGUCGCAAGGCUCUUAGUGGCGAACGGGUGAGUAACGCGUUGGUACCUGCCCCAAAGCGGGGGAUAACGGACCGAAAGGUCCGCUAAUACCCCAUGUGUUCCGUGAGGAGUAAAGGCGAAAGUCACUUUGGGAGGGGGCCUGCGUCCCAUCAGCUAGUUGGUAGGGUAACGGCUUACCAAGGCGAUGACGGGUAGGGGACCUGAGAGGGUGGCCCCCCCACAAUGGAACUAGAAACAACGGUCCAUACACCUACCGGGUGGGCAGCAGUAGGGAA